rnacentral:rRNA from 1 species
GACGAACGCUGGCGGCGUGCUUAAGACAUGCAAGUCGAACGGAAAGGCCCUGCUUUUGUGGGGUGCUCGAGUGGCGAACGGGUGAGUAACACGUGAGUAACCUGCCCUUGACUUUGGGAUAACUUCAGGAAACUGGGGCUAAUACCGGAUAGGAGCUCCUGCUGCAUGGUGGGGGUUGGAAAGUUUCGGCGGUUGGGGAUGGACUCGCGGCUUAUCAGCUUGUUGGUGGGGUAGUGGCUUACCGAGGCUUUGACGGGUAGCCGGCCUGAGAGGGUGACCGGCCACAUUGGGACUGAGAUACGGCCCAGACUCCUACGGGAGGCAGCAGUGGGGAAUAUUGCACAAUGGGCGGAAGCCUGAUGCAGCAACGCCGCGUGCGGGAUGACGGCCUUCGGGUUGUAAACCGCUUUCGCCUGUGACGAAGCGUGAGUGACGGUAAUGGGUAAAGAAGCACCGGCUAACUACGUG